CCUACGGGAGGCAGCAGUAGGGAAUAUUGCUCAAUGGGGGAAACCCUGAAGCAGCAACGCCGCGUGGAGGUUGAUGGUUUUAGGAUUGUAAACUCCUUUUGUUAGAGAAGAUUAUGACGGUAUCUUACGAAUAAGCACCGGCUAACCCAGUGCCAGCAGCCGCGGUAAUACGGAGGGUCCAAGCGUUACUCGGAAUCACUGGGCGUAAGGAGUGCGUAGGCGGGGUAAUAAGUCAGAUGUGAAAUCCUGUAGCUUAAGUACAGAACUGCAUUUGAAACUGUUACUCUGGAGUGUGGGUGCGGUAGGUGGAAUGCUUGGUGUAGGGGUGAAAUCCGUAGAGAUCAAGAAGAAUACUGAUUGCGAAGGCGACCUGC
rnacentral:rRNA from 1 species